UUCCAUAAAAAGCUUAUCUUGGUCUAGUCAUCUGGUGGCGGCCGAGCAUGUAUGGCCACUAGAAUCUACUACUACUCCUACAUGUCUCCGACCUCUUUCAUACAUGCAUAAUGUUUGGAUCUAGCUACCUAGAAAAGUAUACUACGCUGCAGAAUGGUCUAUAAAAUGGAUGUGGUGUUUUUAUACACUUAUAAUGAUUCACAUCCACGUUCACUUUGUGGGUCACAAAUGG
rnacentral:lncRNA from 1 species